rnacentral:rRNA from 1 species
ACUCCUACGGGAGGCAGCAGUAGGGAAUCUUCCACAAUGGGCGCAAGCCUGAUGGAGCAACACCGCGUGAGUGAAGAAGGGUUUCGGCUCGUAAAGCUCUGUUGUUAAAGAAGAACACGUAUGAGAGUAACUGUUCAUACGUUGACGGUAUUUAACCAGAAAGUCACGGCUAACUACGUGCCAGCAGCCGCGGUAAUACGUAGGUGGCAAGCGUUAUCCGGAUUUAUUGGGCGUAAAGAGAGUGCAGGCGGUUUUCUAAGUCUGAUGUGAAAGCCUUCGGCUUAACCGGAGAAGUGCAUCGGAAACUGGAUAACUUGAGUGCAGAAGAGGGUAGUGGAACUCCAUGUGUAGCGGUGGAAUGCGUAGAUAUAUGGAAGAACACCAGUGGCGAAGGCGGCUACCUGGUCUGCAACUGACGCUGAGACUCGAAAGCAUGGGUAGCGAACAGGAUUAGAUACCGUGGUAGGAUAGCG